ACUCAUUUAGAAUUAAGGUGCAGUUAUAAUAAAUUUUUAAUAUGAAUUAAAAAUUAUAUUUAGUACUAUACAUAAUUUUGAAUGAGGAAAAAUUAGAAUUCUAGAAUGAUCGGAAAAUCACCUUUGAUUUGGGGUUAAACUAAUCCCAAUCUUAUAUUUCUCCGCGAGCGACCAAACACAUCUGAAUUCUCAUCUCUUAAAUUUUCUCUUCUAGUGAUGUGUUACAUGUUACGUUGGGUUGAAAUGAGUACUCAAUUUCAGUGACAAGUGAGAGGGCUCUGUAAUGGAGGCCAGGCGCUGUGCAAGAGAGGGAAAUUAGCAUCUUUUUUGUAAUGGAGUUGUUCCAAUGGAUUACCCUGGUGGGCUUUAAGAAGGCCUUCCUUCAUGGUUACAUACCAAGUUUUGACUAGCGGGUUGAGUGUUGACGAUGUCAUUGAGCAUUACUUAAAAUUUAAAGACUGCCUAUAAUGUCAUCUCUUACAAACAUAAACCCCGUUUACUGACCGUCCUGGAGUUGCUGAAUGCCACAAAAGAGAGAUAGAGGGACUACUAGAAAAGCACUACCUUCGUUACCAAGGGACCCACAACAAUAGAGAAAAGAGAAGAAGAAAAAUGGAGAAAGCGAAGUAAAGGAAGAAAAAGCGAAAAUUAGUAUGUGCUUUGAUGGAAUGAUGAAGCGAGUGAUAUAUAGUGAGGGAAGCUAGUGUGCAUGACUUAGCGCAUAAUUUACACUAGUAGAAAGGUGACUUCUUCUCCCACUGUAUUAAAAUGUGAUUAUAUGUAACUGUUAUAAGAAUCAAAUAUUAUGCAUUAAAUUUAAUGGGGAGUUGUCUAUAAAAUAGUACUACUUUUAAACAGUAACAAAGUGUAGAUAAUUAAAUUUACUGUUAUUAGUAUUAUAUAUUAAAUAUUCAAUUUAAUAGAUACUUUGAUGAAUUUUUUGAAGAAAAUAAAUUUAUUUCC